ACGCUAGCUACAGGCUUAACACAUGCAAGUCGAGGGGAAACGGCAUUGAGUGCUUGCACUCUUUGGACGUCGACCGGCGCACGGGUGAGUAACGCGUAUCCAACCUUCCCAUUACUGUGGGAUAACCUGCCGAAAGGCAGACUAAUACCGCAUAGUCUUCGAUGACGGCAUCAGAUUUGAAGUAAAGAUUUAUCGGUAAUGGAUGGGGAUGCGUCUGAUUAGCUUGUUGGCGGGGUAACGGCCCACCAAGGCAACGAUCAGUAGGGGUUCUGAGAGGAAGGUCCCCCACAUUGGAACUGAGACACGGUCCAAACUCCUACGGGAGGCAGCAGUGAGGAAUAUUGGUCAAUGGACGGAAGUCUGAACCAGCCAAGUAGCGUGCAGGAUGACGGCCCUAUGGGUUGUAAACUGCUUUUGUAUGGGGAUAAAGUUAGGGACGUGUCCCUAUUUGCAGGUACCAUACGAAUAAGGACCGGCUAAUUCCGUGCCAGCAGCCGCGGUAAUACGGAAGGUCCAGGCGUUAUCCGGAUUUAUUGGGUUUAAAGGGAGCGUAGGCUGGAGAUUAAGUGUGUUGUGAAAUGUAGACGCUCAACGUCUGAAUUGCAGCGCAUACUGGUUUCCUUGUGUACGCACAACGUUGGCGGAAUUCGUCGUGUAGCGGUGAAAUGCUUAGAUAUGACGAAGAACUCCGAUUGCGAAGGCAGCUGACGGGAGCGCAACUGACGCUUAAGCUCGAAGGUGCGGGUAUCAAACAGGAUUAGAUACCCUGGUAGUCCGCACAGUAAACGAUGGAUGCCCGCUGUUGGUACCUGGUAUCAGCGGCUAAGCGAAAGCAUUAAGCAUCCCACCUGGGGAGUACGCCGGCAACGGUGAAACUCAAAGGAAUUGACGGGGGCCCGCACAAGCGGAGGAACAUGUGG
rnacentral:rRNA from 1 species